ACGAACGCUGGCGGCGUGCUUCACACAUGCAAGUCGAACGGAAAGGCCCUGCUUUUGUGGGGUGCUCGAGUGGCGAACGGGUGAGUAACACGUGAGUAACCUGCCCUUGACUUUGGGAUAACUUCAGGAAACUGGGGCUAAUACCGGAUAGGAGCUCCUGCUGCAUGGUGGGGGUUGGAAAGUUUCGGCGGUUGGGGAUGGACUCGCGGCUUAUCAGCUUGUUGGUGGGGUAGUGGCUUACCAAGGCUUUGACGGGUAGCCGGCCUGAGAGGGUGACCGGCCACAUUGGGACUGAGAUACGGCCCAGACUCCUACGGGAGGCAGCAGUGGGGAAUAUUGCACAAUGGGCGGAAGCCUGAUGCAGCAACGCCGCGUGCGGGAUGACGGCCUUCGGGUUGUAAACCGCUUUCGCCUGUGACGAAGCGUGAGUUACGGUAAUGGGUAAAGAAGCACCGGCUAACUACGUG
rnacentral:rRNA from 1 species